rnacentral:rRNA from 1 species
UACAGAGGUCUCAAGCGUUGUUCGGAUUCAUUGGGCGUAAAGGGUGCGUAGGUGGCGCUGUAAGUCAGGUGUGAAAUUUCGGAGCUUAACUCCGAAACUGCAUUUGAUACUGCGGUGCUCGAGGACUGGAGAGGAGACUGGAAUUUGCGGUGUAGCAGUGAAAUGCGUAGAGAUCGUAAGGAAGACCAGUGGCGAAGGCGGGUCUCUGGACAGUUACUGACACUGAGGCACGAAGGCCAGGGGAGCAAACGGG